AACGUAGGACGCAAGCGUUAUCCGGAGUUACUGGGCGUAAAGCGCGGGCAGGCGGCUCGAUGCGUCUGAUGUGAAAUCUCCUCGCUCAACGGGGAGAGGCCAUUGGAAACGGUCGGGCUGGAGGGCAGUAGAGGCAGGCGGAAUUCCGGGUGGAGUGGUGAAAUGCGUAGAGAUCCGGAGGAACACCAGUGGCGAAGGCGGCUCACUGGCCCGGUACUGACGCUGAGGUGCGAAAGCGUGGGGAGCAAACAGG
rnacentral:rRNA from 1 species